rnacentral:rRNA from 1 species
GACGAACGCUGGCGGCGUGCCUAAUACAUGCAAGUAGAACGCACAGUUUAUACCGUAGCUUGCUACACCAUAGACUGUGAGUUGCGAACGGGUGAGUAACGCGUAGGUAACCUGCCUGGUAGCGGGGGAUAACUAUUGGAAACGAUAGCUAAUACCGCAUAAUAUUAAUUAUUGCAUGAUAAUUAAUUGAAAGGUGCAAUUGCACCACUACCAGAUGGACCUGCGUUGUAUUAGCUAGUAGGUGAGGUAACGGCUCACCUAGUCGACGAUACAUAGCCGACAUGAGAGGGUGAGCGGCCACACAGGGAAUGAGACACGGCCCAGACUCCUACGGGAGGCAGCAGUAGGGAAUCUUCGGCAAUGGACGAAAGUCUGACCGAGCAACGCCGCGUGAGUGAAGAAGGUUUUCGGAUCGUAAAGCUCUGUUGUAAGAGAAGAACGGGAGUGAGAGUGGAAAGUUCACACUGUGACGGUAUCUUACCAGAAAGGGACGGCUAACUACGUG